AACGAACGCUGGCGGCAUGCCUAACACAUGCAAGUCGAACGAGACCUUCGGGUCUAGUGGCGCACGGGUGCGUAACGCGUGGGAACCUGCCCUUAGGUUCGGAAUAACUCCCCGAAAGGGGUGCUAAUACCGGAUAAUGUCUUCGGACCAAAGAUUUAUCGCCUUUGGAUGGGCCCGCGUUGGAUUAGCUAGUUGGUAGGGUAAAAGCCUACCAAGGCGACGAUCCAUAGCUGGACUGAGAGGAUGAUCAGCCACACUGGGACUGAGACACGGCCCAGACUCCUACGGGAGGCAGCAGUGGGGAAUAUUGGACAAUGGGCGAAAGCCUGAUCCAGCAAGGCCGGGUGAGUGAUGAAGGCGUUAGGGUUGUAAAGCUCUUUUACCCGGGAUGAUAAUGACAGUACCGGGAGAAUAAGCUCCGGCUAACUCCGUG
rnacentral:rRNA from 1 species